rnacentral:rRNA from 1 species
GUUUGAUCCUGGCUCAGGAUGAACGCUGGCGGCGUGCUUAACACAUGCAAGUCGAACGAACCUUCGGGUUAGUGGCGGACGGGUGAGUAACGCGUGGGAAUCUGCCCUCAGGAGGGGGAUAACGGCUGGAAACGGCCGCUAAUACCCCAUAUGCCGAGAGGUGAAAAGAAAUUCGCCUGAGGAUGAGCCCGCGUCUGAUUAGCUAGUUGGUGGGGUAAGAGCUCACCAAGGCGACGAUCAGUAGCUGGUCUGAGAGGAUGAUCAGCCACACUGGGACUGAGACACGGCCCAGACUCCUACGGGAGGCAGCAGUGGGGAAUUUUCCGCAAUGGGCGAAAGCCUGACGGAGCAACGCCGCGUGAGGGAUGAAGGCCUCUGGGCUGUAAACCUCUUUUCUCAAGGAAGAAGACAUGACGGUACUUGAGGAAUAAGCCACGGCUAAUUCCGUGCCAGCAGCCGCGGUAAUACGGGAGUGGCAAGCGUUAUCCGGAAUUAUUGGGCGUAAAGCGUCCGCAGGCGGCCCUGUAAGUCUGUCGUUAAAGCGUGGAGCUUAACUCCAUUUAAGCGAUGGAAACUACAGGGCUUGAGUGUGGUAGGGGCAGAGGGAAUUCCCGGUGUAGCGGUGAAAUGCGUAGAUAUCGGGAAGAACACCAGUGGCGAAGGCGCUCUGCUGGGCCAUAACUGACGCUCAUGGACGAAAGCCAGGGGAGCGAAAGGGAUUAGAUACCCCUGUAGUCCUGGCCGUAAACGAUGAACACUAGGUGUCGGGGGAAUCGACCCCCUCGGUGUCGUAGCCAACGCGUUAAGUGUUCCGCCUGGGGAGUACGCACGCAAGUGUGAAACUCAAAGGAAUUGACGGGGGCCCGCACAAGCGGUGGAGUAUGUGGUUUAAUUCGAUGCAACGCGAAGAACCUUACCAGGGUUUGACAUCCUGCGAAUCCCUUGGAAACGAGGGAGUGCCUUCGGGAGCGCAGAGACAGGUGGUGCAUGGCUGUCGUCAGCUCGUGUCGUGAGAUGUUGGGUUAAGUCCCGCAACGAGCGCAACCCACGUCUUUAGUUCCAGCAUUCAGUUGGGCACUCUAGAGAGACCGCCGGUGAUAAACCGGAGGAAGGUGUGGAUGACGUCAAGUCAUCAUGCCCCUUACAUCCUGGGCUACACACGUACUACAAUGCUACGGACAAAGGGCAGCAAGCUCGCGAGAGUUAGCAAAUCCCAUAAACCGUGGCUCAGUUCAGAUCGUAGGCUGCAACUCGCCUACGUGAAGGAGGAAUCGCUAGUAAUCGCAGGUCAGCAUACUGCGGUGAAUACGUUCCCGGGCCUUGUACACACCGCCCGUCACACCAUGGAAGUUGGCCAUGCCCGAAGUCGUUACUCCAACCC